UGAGAUAUGGGCAGGGCAGUGAGAUGUGGGCUGGGCAGGGCAGUGAGAUAUGGGCUGGGCAGGGGAGUGAGAUGUGGGCAGGGCAGUGAGAUAUGGGCAGGGCAGUGAGAUAUGGGCAGGGGAGUGAGAUAUGGGCAGGGCAGUGAGAUAUGGGCAGGGCAGUGAGAUAUGGGCUGGGCAGGGCAGUGAGAUAUGGGCUGGGCAGGGCAGUGAGAUAUGGGCAGGGCAGUGAGAUGUGGGCUGGGCAGGGGAGUGAGAUAUGGGCUGGGCAGGGCAGUGAGAUAUGGGCAGGGGAGUGAGAUAUGGGCUGGGCGGGGCAGGGAGAUAUGGGCUGGGCAGGGGAGUGAAAUGUGGGCUGGGCAGGGCAGUGAGAUAUGGGCAGGCAGUGAGAUAUGGGCAGGGCAGUGAGAUAUGGGCUGGGCAGGGCAGUGAGAUAUGGGCAGGGCAGUGAGAUAUGGGCAGGGCAGUGAGAUAUGGGCUGGGCAGGGCAGUGCGAUAUGGGCAGGGCAGGGAGAUAUGGGCAGGGAGAUAUGGGCUGGGCAGGGCAGUGAGUUAUGGGCUGGGCAGGGCAGUGAGAUAUGGGCUGGGCAGGGCAGUGAGAUAUGGGCAGGGCAUUGAGAUAUGGGCAGGGGAGUGAGAUAUGGGCAGGGCAGUGAGAUAUGGGCAGGGGAGUGAGAUAUGGGCAGGGCAGUGAGAUAUGGGCAGGGGAGUGAGAUAUGGGCAGGGCAGUGAGAUAUGGGCAGGACAGUGAGAUAUGGGCAGGGAAGUGAGAUAUGGCCAGGGCAGUGAGAUAUGGGCAGGGGAGUGAGAUAUGGGCAGGGCAGUGAGAUAUGGGCUGGGCAGGGGAUGAAAAUGUGGGCUGGGCAGGGCAGUGAGAUAUGGGCAGGCAGUGAGAUAUGGGCAGGGGAGUGAGAUAUGGGCAGGGCAUGAGAUAUGGGCAGGGCAGUGAGAUAUGGGCAGGGCAGUGAGAUAUGGGCUGGGCAGGGCAGUGAGAUAUGGGCUGGGCAGGGCAGUGAGAUAUGGGCAGGGCAGUGAGAUGUGGGCUGGGCAGGGGAGUGAGAUAUGGGCUGGGCAGGGCAGUGAGAUAUGGGCAGGGGAGUGAGAUAUGGGCUGGGCAGGGCAGGGAGAUAUGGGCUGGGCAGGGGAGUGAAAUGUGGGCUGGGCAGGGCAGUGAGAUAUGGGCAGGCAGUGAGAUAUGGGCAGGGGAGUGAGAUAUGGGCAGGGCAGUGAGAUAUGGGCUGGGCAGGGCAGUGAGAUAUGGGCAGGGCAGUGAGAUAUGGGCAGGGCAGUGAGAUAUGGGCUGGGCAGGGCAGUGAGAUAUGGG
ensembl:lncRNA